ACUAGAAAUCAGAGAAUAAAGACAGACUGCUCAAGCUGUCUACGCGCUCUCUUUUUCUCUUGCAAGGCCAUUCUGCCACAAUAGUGAAAUUUCCAAUUUAUAUGAGGUAGCCAGCACACCUCAACCUCUUUAUUCAAAUGUGUGGUGUGUGGGUGGUCCCAUUGUCAUGGUGCGGAACCACCCAACACCUAUCAACAAAGAAGUAAUCUCCUGUGAGGCCUUUGAAACUAGUGUUCGAUAAAGCUUGAAGAAGGUUUAGACCAUUCAAAGACACCCCAAGAGUUGCAAGAUCUGUUGAUGAAUUGCUAGAACCAUUUGCCUUUUUAAACCCUAAAUUUGCAGUUCCACCUUUCUCCACCGCCAAGGCCAACGCCGUUGCAGCAUCAGAGGCCCAUAAUCCAAAAAUGUUAAACUCCGCAUCAAAAACAUCAGGUUGUCUUCGAAUUUCCGCUUCCAGGGAACUCGAAAAUAUUUGAGCUCUCUUGUAUUUGGAACAGAAGGCUUAACGCCCAAUACCCCUUGCAUUGUAUCAGUGACAGAAGGAUCGGGUGUACUCAACAAAUCAGCUGUCAAACAAUCAGUCAUGAUCCAAACAAAGCCUUCAGUCAUCAUCCCAAUCUCUUUUGCUUUGGCAAAAAGCCGAGUGCCAAGAGAACGAUACAUAUGCACGAUGAAAACUCUAGUUUGCAUUGUCAUCAGCUUGUAAAGCUCCUCGCCAAUUUGAUCAUCAGUGGCUGAUGGAGAAAUGACACUCCGGUAGGGGACUCGAGCUUCUACCGCUUCCAAAGCAUCAGUUAAAUAAGAACACGCCAUCAAGACAAUGACUAACAGCUAAAGGUAUAAGAAAAGGGACAACAGAAAAAAUGGAGAGGUAGAGAAGGACCUGCGGCAGCUGCUCCGACAACAUCUCUCUUGGAGUCCCUAGUGGUGAGGAUCAGCCUGGUUUUGUAGCCACCGUGAGUGGCAUAUAGAAGUCUGAGAGGGCCAUUUUAAUGCAACUCAAAGCAAUAUUGACAUCAAAACAUUCCAAGUCUAGAACCACACCAACGUUCACUCCAACAUAUGCUGUUGAGUUUUGGGCCAACCCCAUUUCUAUGAACAAUAUCUUUAAAGAAAGGAACAAGAAGAUCAGAACAUGCAUUGAAGGGUACCUUUUCUUCAUCCUCUAAUUUGUUUCCAAACAAUUUGAUAAAAAUCCUUACAAAAACUUGAAGAUGGUUGGAAAUAUGAGGGGGGUUUCUUUAAAACAUGGUAACUUAAUUUUGGAUAA